AUUGAACGCUGGCGGCAUGCUUUACACAUGCAAGUCGAACGGCAGCGCGGACUUCGGCCUGGCGGCGAGUGGCGAACGGGUGGGUAAUACAUCGGAACGUGCCCAGUAGUGGGGGAUAGCUCGGCGAAAGCCGGAUUAAUACCGCAUACGACCUGAGGGUGAAAGCGGGGGAUCUUCGGACCUCGCGCUAUUGGAGCGGCCGAUGGCAGAUUAGCUAGUUGGUGGGGUAAAGGCCUACCAAGGCGACGAUCUGUAGCUGGUCUGAGAGGACGACCAGCCACACUGGGACUGAGACACGGCCCAGACUCCUACGGGAGGCAGCAGUGGGGAAUUUUGGACAAUGGGCGAAAGCCUGAUCCAGCAAUGCCGCGUGUGUGAUGAAGGCCUUCGGGUUGUAAAGCACUUUUGGCGGGAACGAAAAGGACUGUGCCAAUACCACGGUUCGAUGACGGUACCCGCAGAAUAAGCACCGGCUAACUACGUG
rnacentral:rRNA from 1 species